rnacentral:rRNA from 1 species
UACGGAGGGUGCGAGCGUUAAUCGGAAUUACUGGGCGUAAAGCGCGCGUAGGCGGUUUGAUAAGCAGGAUGUGAAAGCCCCAGGCUUAACCUGGGAACGGCAUUCUGAACUGUCUGACUGGAGUAUGGUAGAGGGGUGUGGAAUUUCCGGUGUAGCGGUGAAAUGCGUAGAUAUCGGAAGGAACACCAGUGGCGAAGGCGACACCCUGGACCAAUACUGACGCUGAGGUGCGAAAGCGUGGGGAGCAAAC